AACACGUGGGAACCUGCCUUUCGGUUCGGAAUAACGUCUGGAAACGGACGCUAACACCGGAUACGCCCUUCGGGGGAAAGUUUACGCCGAGAGAGGGGCCCGCGUCGGAUUAGGUAGUUGGUGAGGUAAAGGCUCACCAAGCCUGCGAUCCGUAGCUGGUCUGAGAGGAUGAUCAGCCACACUGGGACUGAGACACGGCCCAGACUCCUACGGGAGGCAGCAGUGGGGAAUAUUGGACAAUGGGCGCAAGCCUGAUCCAGCAAUGCCGCGUGAGUGAUGAAGGCCUUAGGGUUGUAAAGCUCUUUCGCACGCGACGAUGAUGACGGUAGCGUGAGAAGAAGCCCCGGCUAACUUCGUGCCAGCAGCCGCGGUAAUACGAAGGGGGCUAGCGUUGUUCGGAAUUACUGGGCGUAAAGGGCGCGUAGGCGGCCUGUUUAGUCAGAAGUGAAAGCCCCGGGCUCAACCUGGGAAUAGCUUUUGAUACUGGCAGGCUUGAGUUCCGGAGAGGAUGGUGGAAUUCCCAGUGUAGAGGUGAAAUUCGUAGAUAUUGGG
rnacentral:rRNA from 1 species